AAGCGAGGAGGAGUGCUACUUAGUUAAUACCUCGAGAUAGUGUACGUCACUCGCAGAAUAUGCACCGGCUAACUCUGUGCCAGCAGCCGCGGUAAUACAGAGGGUGCAAGCGUUAAUCGGAUUUACUGGGCGUAAAGCGCGCGUAGGCGGCUAAUUAAGUCAAAUGUGAAAUCCCCGAGCUUAACUUGGGAAUUGCAUUCGAUACUGGUUAGCUAGAGUGUGGGAGAGGAUGGUAGAAUUCCAGGUGUAGCGGUGAAAUGCGUAGAGAUCUGGAGGAAUACCGAUGGCGAAGGCAGCCAUCUGGCCUAACACUGACGCUGAGGUGCGAAAGCAUGGGGAGCAAACAGGAUUAGAUACCCUGGUAGUCCAUGCCGUAAACGAUGUCUACUAGCCGUUGGGGCCUUUGAGGCUUUACUGGCGCAGCUAACGCGAUAAGUAGACCGCCUGGGGAGUACGUGUCGCAAGCACUCAAAUUCAAAUGAAUUGACGGGGGCCCGACACAAGCGGUGGAGCAUGUGGUACAU
rnacentral:rRNA from 1 species